AUAUGAAGAAAUGCUGGUUGGAAAGCAGAGUGGAGAAACUCCCAGCUUGGAAUACAUGCAAAGGGGACAUGCCUAGUGGAGCCCAGAGAAUGCCACAGACGUAGAGAUGACAGGUACUUUAGGAUGGCCUAGAACGAGAGAAUGAGGCUGAAAACAGGAAGAAUAAUCGAAGAUGUGUACAAAAACAGUUGACCGUCACAACCCUCACUCUCUUUCCCAAAAUGCAGACUAGAUGACAGUCCAGAAUUUACCCCUAGGACAAAACAGAAUGAUUAUUUCUUAAGAAAUUCCAUAAAUGUCCGGGAAGAAUUUGGGCAGUGAGCGUGAGUUGGGGUCUGAGAGUAACGUCCUCUGCCUUCUGGCAUUUGAGGGGGGAAAGUUUUGUGUGAUUUUGACUUUCUGAUCAUUCAUGUGGCAUGAAGCCACCAGUGGCCAGUCCUGCCCUUGGAUAGAGAGCUCCUGGUCAGAACAGUUCAUUUAUAAACAUGAAUGAAUGGCCAUGGAUCCCCGAACAUUUGAGGAGAAUCUGAAUUAAUCAAGAGACAAAGUAAGGUAAAUGGGACAUUGGUUGCAGAAGAAACAGGAUGAUAGGGAACAGAACUUCCAAAAAAACUCCUGUCUCUAAAGCAUUCACCCUGUCCCUGAACAUAUCAGACUUCCUAAGUGGUCCUGCUGAAGGUCCUCACGCUUGGCUCAAAGUGGAAAAUUUAAACAUCUUGGUUUGGCAUCUUACUAAAUCUAUGCUGUAAUGUCCCAAAUGGUAGCCAUUAGCCACUUGUGCCUAUUUAAAUGUAAAUUUAAAUUAAUUAAAAUGAAGCAACAAAUUUAGUUCCUCAGUUGCAUUAGCCACUCACGUGCUAUUUCAAGUAUUCAAUAGCUGCAUGUGGCUAGUUUCUACUAUAUUGGACAGUGCAGAUACAGAAGUUUACAUCACCAAAGAAAAUUCUAUUGGACAGUGUUGAUCUAUGGCAAUAGGUUACAGCCGAAACUUGCAUUUUAUCAUCAUUACAUAGAUUUAUACACAUAUACACACAUCAAUCACUUCCUCUUUUACAAAUUAUUUGUUUUUAUAUAUUUUUAAAUCGAAGCAUAAUUUAUAUAUAGUAAAAUGCACAAAUCUUAAGUGUACAGGUCGAUGAAUUUUUAAUAUGUAUAUACCAGCGUGACUACCAGUCAAAUUAAUAUAUGGAAUAUUUCCAUCACUUCAGGAUACUCCCUCGUACUCCUUUCAGCCAGUAUUUUGUCUCACCCUCUCCCAUCAUCCCCGGGGUAACCAUGCUCUGAAAUCUAUCACCAUAGAUUAGUUUUGUCUGUCCUUGAAUUCAUAAAUGAGGUCAUACAGUAUAUAUCUUUUGCAUCUAGUUCUUUCCCUCAGCAUAAUGCUUUUGAGAUUCAUUCAUGGUGUGCAUACACUGUGCAUGUGGUGUUUGCACUAUUUUGUUGCUGAGUCAUGUUCCAUUGUAUAAAUAUACCACAAUUUGUUUAUCCAUUCACCUGUUGAUGGACAUUUGGGUUGUCUCCAGUUUUUGCAGUUCAGCAUGGCUGAGGAGACCUCAGGAAGCUGACAAUCACGGCAGGAGUGGAAGCAGACACGUCCUUCAAAUGGCGGCAGGAGAGAAGAAGUGC
rnacentral:lncRNA from 1 species